GAUGAACGUUGGCGGUAUGCCUAAUACAUGCAAGUCGAACGAGAAACCCAUCUUCGGACGGGGAGUAAAGUGGCGAACGGGUGAGUAACGCGUUGGUGAUCUGCCCCGAAGUGAGGGACAACAUUCCGAAAGGAAUGCUAAUACCUCAUGUGGUCCUGAGGGUUAAAGGCCUCAGGUCUAAAGAUUUAUCGCUUCGGGAGGAGCCUGCGUCCCAUCAGCUAGUUGGUAGGGUAAUGGCCUACCAAGGCAACGACGGGUAGGGGGCCUGAGAGGGCGGCCCCCCACAAUGGUACUGAAACACGGACCAUACACCUACGGGUGGCAGCAGUAGGGAAUCUUGCGCAAUGGACGAAAGUCUGACGCAGCAAUACCGCGUGCACGAUGAAGGUCUUCGGAUCGUAAAGUGCUUUUCCAUGGGAAGAGAAAGGACUGUACCAUGGGAAUAAGGAUCGGCUAACUACGUGCCAGCAGCCGCGGUAACACGUAGGAUCCAAACGUUAUCCGGAUUUACUGGGCGUAAAGCGCGUGCAGGUGGUUUGGUAAGUUGGGUGUCAAAGCUCCGGGCUUAACCCGGAGAGGUCGCUCAAAACUA
rnacentral:rRNA from 1 species